GACGAACGCUGGCGGCGUGCUUAACACAUGCAAGUCGAGCGGAGACAGCAGCAAUGUUGUUUUAGCGGCGGACGGGUGAGUAACGCGUGGGCAACCUGCCUUAGACUGGGGGAUAACACAGGGAAACUUGUGCUAAUACCGCAUAACAUCACGAGGGGACAUCCUCAUGUGAUCAAAGGAGUAAUCCGGUAAAAGAUGGGCCUGCGUCCGAUUAGCUAGUUGGCGGUGUAACGGACCACCAAGGCGACGAUCGGUAGCCGAACUGAGAGGUUGAUCGGCCACAUUGGGACUGAGACACGGCCCAGACUCCUACGGGAGGCAGCAGUGGGGAAUAUUGCACAAUGGAGGAAACUCUGAUGCAGCAACGCCGCGUGAAGGAUGAAGGUUUUCGGAUUGUAAACUUCUUUGACCAGGGACGAAUAAUGACGGUACCUGGAAAACAAGCCACGGCUAACUACGUGCCAGCAGCCGCGGUAAUACGUAGGUGGCGAGCGUUGUCCGGAAUUACUGGGUGUAAAGGGCGUGUAGGCGGGGAUACAAGUCAGAUGUGAAAU
rnacentral:rRNA from 2 species